rnacentral:rRNA from 1 species
AAAGGUAAAAUUAAUUUAAUUUUUUUCAUAGAUAAAUUAAGAUUGAAGCUAAAAAGUUUUAGUUAUAAACUAGGAUUAGAUACCCUAUUAUUCUAAAAUUACUUAUUACCUAAACUAGUAAUAGAUAUUUACUUAAAAUUUAAAAGAUUUGGCGGUAAUUUAAUCUUUUCAGAGGAAUUUGUUUUUUAAUCGAUAAUCCGCGAAUUAUCUUACUUAAGUUUGUAUACCAUCAUUAUCAGAUAAUUUUUAAAAGAUAAAUUAUUAUAAGUAAAAAUUUAACUAAAUUAGAUCAUGGUGCAGCUAAUGAGUAAGUUAAAAUGAAUUACAAUAAAAUUUUUUACACGGAUAAAUAGAUUUAGAAGGAGGAUUUGAUAGUACUUAAGUUUAAUAUGCUUAGGAGAUAAAGGCUCUAAAUUAUGUACAUAUCGCCCGUCGCUUUC